AGUUGAGCACUUGCCUCAACUACAACUUCUUCUCAGUCUCAGAAAAUGGCUACUAGAGAAUCUGGAUUCAAAAGAUUUAUCCUUUCAUUCAGAGAAUAUGAACAAUGUUCCCACUAGACUGAUCUGGUCCUGUAUUUUCAGGGUCCGUCGGUUGUGUGGCGUUAGAGAAUCCCCUGAGGACAGAGGCCUGGGUCGGGGUCGGAGACUCUGCUGCUAGAAACUGAGGCCCAAGGAUUGUGUGGGUGGAGUCAGGAGGCCAUCACAGUGGAGUAACAGUAUAAAAGCAGGGCAGCUUGUAUCGCAUGGGGGUUGUUAAAUUGAUCUGUUGAGAUUCACAUCAGAAACACUGAUUGCUGUUUCAAGGUUGCCAGCAUCAUUGUCCUCCAAGGAUGUAAUCUUUGUAUAAAGACAUGACUCACUGAAAUAACUGCAGUGUAAAAUCUUGUCAUGUUUUCUUUCAAUCACAAAAAAAUGCUUUAUAAGCUACAAAAUUUUAAUUUAUCAGUCAAAAAUGUGAUUCUGCUAAAUCUUUCAAAUGAAGUUGACAUAAAACAUGCAGUAUUAACAUCAACAAAAUCUGCCAGUCUUAUGUGUGUGUUGUGGGGGAGA